UUAGCAGGUCAUUUAAUGGGUCAUUUAGCAGGUCAUUUAGCAGGUCAUUUAAUGGGUCAUUUAGCAGGUCAUUUAAUGGGUCAUUUAACAGGUCAUUUAACAGGUCAUUUAACAGGUCAUUUAACAGGUCAUUUAGCAGGUCAUUUAACAG